UACAGCUAUAUCACGUUGAAACUACAGGUACCUGUACGAUCACCGAAGUUAAGCAACAUUUAAACUGGUCAGUACCUAGAUGGGUAACUGCUUGGGAAUACCAGAUGCUGUAAG